GACUCGGCGAGAAGUCCAUUGAACCUUAUCAUUUAGAGGAAGGAGAAGUCGUAACAAGGUUUCCGUAGGUGAACCUGCGGAAGGAUCAUUGUCGAGACCGAAAUAUACAACGAGCGACUCGGAGAACUCGUGAAAUGACGUGCGGCAGUCGCCGCGGAGCGGCCGUCCUGGUCGUCGCCGUGUCCUCUUGCGGGGGGCGGCGGCGCGGCGGAGGACGGAUGAAAACACAAACCGGCGCAGCACCGCGCCAAGGGAGAGAUGAAAGGCACGAGCCCCUCGUCGGGCUCGGUGGCAUGGAGUGCUGUUGCACGCCAUGCGAAUGGACACGACUCUCGGCAAUGGAUAUCUCGGCUCUCGCAUCGAUGAAGAGCGCAGCGAAAUGCGAUACGUGGUGCGAAUUGCAGAAUCCCGCGAACCAUCGAGUCUUUGAACGCAAGUUGCGCCUGAGGCCAGCCGGCCGAGGGCACGUCCGCCUGGGCGUCAAGCUUCGCGUCGCUCCGCGCCUGCUCCGUUCCACCAGAUGGGUGUGACGUGACAGGCUCGGACGUGCAGGGUGGCUCGUCGUGCCGGUCGGUGCGGCGGGCUGAAGAGCGGGCUACGUCUCGCCGGCCACGAACAACAAGGGGUGGGUUAAAGCUGUGAGCGCAGCCUGCGUUGUCUCGUGCUGGCCCGAGAGAUGGAUUGCGCCCUCAAGGUGAUCCCGAUCCAUGCGCCGGCCCGGAUGCGUCGGCUUUGGAAUGCGACCCCAGGAUGGGCGAGGCCACCCGCCGAGUUUAAGCAUAUC
rnacentral:rRNA from 1 species